UACGUAGGAGGCGAGCGUUGUCCGGAUUUACUGGGUGUAAAGGGUGCUCAGGUGGUUCUGUAAGUCAGAGGUGAAAGCCCGGAGCUUAACUCCGGAACUGCCUUUGAUACUGCAGGGCUUGAGUAUGGAAGAGGCUGAUGGAAUUUCUGGUGUAGCAGUGAAAUGCGUAGAUAUCAGGAAGAACACCAGUGGCGAAGGCGGUCAGCUGGUCCAUUACUGACACUAAAGCACGAAAGCGUGGGGAG
rnacentral:rRNA from 1 species